GCAGUCGUGGCCGAGUGGUUAAGGCGAUGGACUAUCUAUUAAUUCCCGCGCAGGUUCGAAUCCUGCCGACUGCG